rnacentral:tmRNA from 1 species
GGGGACGUUACGGAUUCGACAGGGAUGUCUGGGCUUGGGUUGCGUGUCGGAGGUCUCGGCUUCGUCAACAACGGAAGUUAUAUAAUAACUGGCAAAACAAACAAUCAAUUAGCUGCAGCUUAGUUCUGCAACUGCUUCACCAUUCCAUCGCCCAUGUGGAGUGACUGAGGCCCAACUUUAGUGGGAUACACUUGCAGGUGCCACCUGAGUCUGUAAGGAGAGAUUAGUAGGUUAGCGCUCAAGACGCCUGUCUGUCGGCAUAAUGCAGCGCGAAACGCAAAUAGAUUGACUACACACGUAGUGGCUCAAGUACUGGAGUUUCUGGACGUGGGUUCGACUCCCAUCGUCUCCA